ACCUCGAAUGUGUCAUCGAAAAUGGAAUGAGACGGAAUUCACGACACAAGCGGUUCACAAAAUGUUUUGUGUUAGGCUAUAAAAACGGAUUUUAUCAAACAAAAGAUCAUUCAUUGUGUAACAAUUAGCAUUGGGAUUGCAAACAGACGAAGAUCGUCAAAGUACACUUCAAGUGACCCUCGUUCAAGAUGGCCGUACUUCUUCAUUACACAAAGGAAUAACCUCAACCAAUUUCUAAAGACUGUUGACAUCCAGUGGAAGCGAUUAGAAAUCUGGAUUCCCAAUGAAAACCCAUUGAAAAGAGUGGGACCUCAACAACAACAAAAUCUGAAUGAUCCUGUCAUAAUCUGCAAUUACCAAGAGAAUUUCACCUACACAAUCUGUGUGUCUUCACAGGACCUGAGCCCUAGGACCAUGCCCCAGGACAACCUGACAUGAUGACUCCUUGCUGUCCCCAGUUCACCUGGCCAUGCUGCUGCUCCAGUUUCAACUGACCUGAGCCCUAGGACCAUGCCCCAGGACUACCUGACAUGAUGACUCCUUGCUGUCCCCAGUCCACCUGGCCAUGCUGCUGCUCCAGUUUCAACUGUUCUGCCUUACUAUUAUUCGACCAUGCUGGUCAUUUAUGAACAUUUGAACAUCUUGGCCAUGUUCUGUUAUAAUCUCCACCCGGCACAGCCAGAAGAGGACGGGCCACCCCACAUAUGCUCUCUCUAAUUCUCUCUUUCUUUCUCUCUCUCAGAGGACCUGAGCCCUAGGACCGUGCCCCAGGACUACCUGACAUGAUGACUCCUUGCUGUCCCCGUUCCACCUGACUGUGCUGCUGCUCCAGUUUCAACUGUUCUGCUGGUCAUUUAUGAACAUUUGAACAUCUUGGCCAUGUUCUGUUAUAAUCUCCACCCGGCACAGCCAGAAGAGGACUGGCCACCCCACAUAGCCUGGUUCCUCUCUAGGUUUCUUCCUAGGUUUUGGCCUUUCUAGGGAGUUUUUCCUAGCCACUGUGCUUCUACACCUGCAUUGCUUGCUGUUUGGGGUUUUAGGCUGGGUUUCUGUACAGCACUUUGAGAUAUCAGCUGAUGUACGAAGGGCUAUAUAAAUAAAUUUGAUUUGAUGUACUGUAAAAUCUUGUAAUGUUCAUUUCACUGACCUUUUUUAGUCACACUAAUGUAGGUAGCUAGAGACAGUGUACUAUUUCUUCUUAAUUCAUGUAGCGGGGUGGUACCAAGGUAUAACCGAUAGAUCUAACAGUUUAUUUUCUAAAGAUUUUUCUGGACUUCAUUAGUGUUGAUCAGUACCUGAGCAGCAGCAGAGGCCAGUUUCUCUCCAUGUGUCACUAUAGUGGAGCGGCAGGUGGCCUAGUGGUUAGAAUGUUGGGCCAGUAACCGAAAGGUUGCUAGAUCGAAUCAUCGAGAUGACAAGAUACAAAUCUGUCAUUCUGCCCCUGAACAAGGCAGUUAACCCACUGUUGCUAGGCUGGCAUUGUAAAUAAGAAUUUGUUCUUAACUGACUUGCCUAGUUUUAAAAAAAGUGACAUGUAUUAUGUCACUAUAGUGACAUAUAAGUCAUUAUUACUGAGUGACAUACUUGGGAAAACACACACAUUGUCUUGGUGAAAUUAUCUUGCAAACUGCAUUUACGGCACAGGAUCUGGAUAUCAUGAAAUAAAAACAUAUUUAACUUUUCAUACAGUCCAUGCUCGCCUUAGCAUAACCCCACAAACGACCGAGCUAACCGAGCUAGCCAGCAUAGUUUUUAUGUAACGAGGCAAGUCAGUUAAGAACAAAUUCUUCUUUACAAUGACUGCCUACUC